CAAGUAGCUCCCCUUCUUCUUUUUCUGCUGAUUCACUGCACAUGCUCUGUGCUGCUGGCAGGGUCAUGAUGAGCCUGCAGAUUUGUAACAAUACGGAUUUGUCACUUCGUUGUGUACUGAAGAUCUGUUGGGGUUGAAAUGCUGAAAUACUGGAUGGAAUGCUAAUGUAAACUUAAAAUACAUUAGCACCUCAGGAAAAUAGGUGUGGAUAGGAAGGAUAUGCAGAAAUAAAGCUUCUCCCGAUGAAGGGUGGAUAUGGAAUGGCUGCGGAACUCUAAUUUAUAACAUCCAUUGGAAAUCAAUACGUAAAAUACCCUGUCACAUUUAAGUGUUCUCUGUGACCUUUCACUCAACAGAAUCCUUUGAGUCACAGCAGGAAUAAGUGUGACCCAACCCUGUGUUACAGCAGAAUUAAUGACAAUGGACAUGUCAUUCUGGCUUGCAUAAGAAAUAAACAUAAUAAUUGGCUUUUUUUAAUAAUAAACUGUAAGAGAUAG